CCAAAUUGACAAACAUGAUUUCUGAUCUUGUCAAAUCAGUGUCAAACAGAGUAGCCGAAGAAGUACUGUAGAGGUUUCGUUUGGGUAGAUGCUAGAUGAUAUGCGCGGUACGGAUAACUACAGAAUUCAGCUGUAUACGUUAUUAGUGCUUGAUGAUUUAAGAUAAAACUGUGGAAAUUGUAACUUCACUGAGGAAUUUGGGUGAUGGGAGACACUCCAUCCAUACUGAAUAAGCAGAGAAAGUAAAGGGGCAUUACUCGGCAUGACUCAGCAGGCCCUCUGUCAUCAGGGAUUUUGCCAUAAGUGGCAGUCAGCAUCUAACAGUGAAGUGUUGACUGUGUGUGCUGAUUCUGAUCAUACAGAGUGUAAGAAUUAACUUGAUUUGUCCUCAAUUCAAAUCAUGGUCGAUAGUACUACUAGGGAAAUGUGCCACAUAAAAAUGAGUACGUCUUAUGGCAGUGUGAAAAUCUGACAGUUGUUAAUAAAGAAAAUAAAUAUUUGUUUAUUUUUCUUCCUACUUUUAUCAUAACAAGCUUUCCCUGAUAUAUUUGAAAUAUUCAGUUCAUUAUUUCAGUAUCAAAUGGACUAAGUGACUUUGCUUCUGUUCAUAAUUAAAGUAUAAGUAUAUCCUGAAGUUGGUAUAAAAGUGAAUUUGUAAACACUAUAGAAGUGAGCUGCUAAAUUUGUUAUCUGUGGGUUUUAUCAACAGGUGAGUAGUACGGAGAUGCUUCGUGAAGUCGAGUGUGAAUCCUUGGAGGGAUGACAAUAUCCUUUUCAUGGAACACUGUUGAGAAAAUUUAGAGAACCAGCGUUUGAAGCUGACUGCAAACUACUCUUCUGCUGCAAAUGAUAAAUGAUACAUGUUGUGUAAAGAUCACAAAGAUUUAACUAGUUCGUAGGGAAUCUGAGCAUGAGGUACAGACAUUUGUAACACUAUUCACAGACUGAAAGUACUACCAAAGGAUGCCGAUUUCAUUACGAGGGAUUGUCCUGUAUCACUUGCUUCCUGCAAUGAAAUACCCAAAAAUCUGCUUGAAGGGAACAAUAAGAAGUAUUAGAAGGGAAAACUAAAUACUGGAAGAACAGAAUAGAUAAAAAUUAUUGUAUCUAAUGUUUUUAGUGUAAAAAUGCUGAGGAGAGCUAGAAGAUCUACAAAUCAUCAGUAAAUGGUUGGUGUGAUAAUCCAGCAGUGGUGUGAAAUAGAUCCUCAGUGUGUGUUUCCUGUGAAAGAUAGCGCAAACUUUUUGUGUUUAAGACUUACACUAAGAAAAAAUGACAACUAGUAAAUCUCACUGCUGUCCAAGCCACCCCGACAACUUUUGUUCUGUGUGUGGGAAAUUCGCUCAAACAGCCCAAAGAAAACCAAUCACUGAUUUGGUUUAGAUGGCAUAUAAAUUAUGAUUGUCCUGUUGGUGAUAAAGACAAAAAUUUUGCACCUCAUAUUGCCUGCAUAACCUAUACAACAACCUUAACAAAAUGAUUAAAAGGGAAACGCCGAGCCAUACCAUUCGCUGUUCCAAUGGUGUGGUGUGAGCCUAAAGUCCAUUAUUCAGACUGUUACUUCUGUAUUACAAAUAUUUUUGGACAUUCAAGCAAAACUAGAUAUAAAAUAAAGUAUCCAAAUGUAU
rnacentral:lncRNA from 1 species